CGCAUCUGUGCAUGCAGCAUAUCAAUAAGCGGAGGAAAAGAAACUAACAAGGAUUCCCCUAGUAACGGCGAGUGAAGCGGGAAGAGCUCAAAUUUGAAAUCUUAAAGGGUUUCCCUUUACGAAUUGUAGUUUAAAGAAGUGUUUUCUGUUGAGGUUUUGGUAAAAGUUCUUUGGAAUAGGACAUCAUAGAGGGUGAGAAUCCCGUAUUUGACCUUUACUUUCAACUUUGUGAUACACUUUCAAAGGAGUCGGAUUGUUUGGGAAUGCAGUCCAAAAUGGGUGGUAAAUUUCAUCUAAAGCUAAAUAUUGGCGAGAGACCGAUAGCGAACAAGUACCGUGAGGGAAAGAUGAAAAGAACUUUGAAAAGAGAGUUAAACAGUACGUGAAAUUGUCAGAAGGGAAGCGUUUGACACCAGUGUUGUUUUUCUGAAAAUCAAUUAAAGAACUGUUUAUGCUAAGUUGUUUAGACUUUAUCAGCUAACUGUUUAGUUUUGAGCUUUUCUUUAAUGCACUUUUCAGUUAACAAGUCAACAUCAAUUUCUUUUGCUGUAAAAAAGCUUGAGGAAGGUGGCUUGAGAUUCGUCUUAAGUGUUUAUAGCCUCUUGCCUAUGCAGUCGGAGAGAUUGAGGUCUGCAGCGUAGAUCCUUCGGGGCUAAAUGCAUUUGUGCUAAGUUAUAGCAUUUUAUAGACAACUUGUUGACUAUGAUUUGUCUUGUAGCUUACUCGCUUAUGUUAUUUUACCUACGCUUAGGAUGUUGAAGAUGUAGCACAUCAU
rnacentral:rRNA from 1 species